GCCAUUAGCAUUUUUAGAAGCUUUGUAUUUAUUUCCCAUGGUCGCAUUUUGAUUUUAUUUGGGGGUUUAUCAACAAGGUUUGCAAUUUUUCAAUGCUUGUUACUUGUUCGAGAAAAUGUCCCAAAGGGUUAGCCAGUGACAUGGGAGGUGUUGGCACAGAAAUUUUGGAUAGGAUUCGUCGCAAGUCCGAGCUUGCGUAGCCUAAUCAUCCAAGCAUGUGGAAGCAUAAAUCCGAAUUAGCUUCCGA
rnacentral:misc_RNA from 1 species